GUAAUCUGAGACGAAAGAAUGAGUGAAUGAAUGAAUGAAUGAUCCUUUUUCUUUUUGAAAUGCUUAUUUAUUUAUUUUCAGAGAGAGAGGGAGGAAGAAAGAGAAUCUCAAGCAGGCUCCAUUCUGUCAGCACGGAAACCGAUGCGGGGCUCCGUCCCACAAACUGUGAGAUCAUGACCUGAGCCGAAAUCAAGAAUUGGAUGCUUAACCGACUGAGCCACCCAGGCACCCCUGAAUGAGUGAUUCUUGAAAAGGUUGAAACUGUUGGCAUGGAGGCAUCCGUGGCUGCCUACAUCCAUCAAUGUCACUGUCAAACAGAAGGUUCAGCCGUGUGUAUCAUGCGUACCACAUUGCAUUGCAAGGUCCGUCUUUGUUCUUCUCUCACGGACAAGGACUCCUGUGACAGAGGGAAAGCUGGGCUGGGGCUAAAGGGCCACGCUGGCGCUGCUCUGGGCGUCCUCCACUGUGAGCACUGCUCGCUGUUCACUUGGGUGCCAGGCCCUGAGCUGUGCACUUUAUGUUCGUCAUUGCAUUUAAUCUUACACCAGCCUUACGAAAUAGAUCCUCUGAGUACCUUUUGAAAGUGAGUCAUCUGAGGCUUAAAGAAGUUAAAUGACUCGCCAACCGUCACCCAGCUACCAACAUCAGAGCUGCAACCCAUGCCCAAGUCUGUUGGGCACCAAAGCUUCUAACAUUCCCCAGGCCUGCCCUUGGUGCAGCCUUCUCAGGGAGAGGACUGAAGAUAGAUGCCUGGGGGCGUCCGGUUUAAGGAAGCAGACAUGCUCACCCCUGCUCUGGGCCUCGGUGCCCCAGCAAUCUCAGACCCACUGCUGGAGAGGAGUCAUCUGGGCCGGGGCCAGGGUUUUGUCUGAACGGGAACAGUUUGUCCCCCUGGAGACCAAUCUUGUGUCUGAUUGUGAUUGCAGGGCAGAGUGCUGGGUGGGGCAGUGGCCAGGCCAGGAUGGUGAGAUGUGGGCUCUUUGUGGGCCACAAGCCUUCUGACCCCUCCAAGGGAGAGGACACUGAGGCCUGAGCAUUGUGCCUGAGUUCUCAAGGCUAGUGAGAGUGGGUUAAGGAGGAGAAGGCCGGUCCCACCCCCCACCCCCCCACACACACACAACCAACCAAGUGCUCUAUCAGCCCUUCUACCUCCUGUCCCCUGUCUUCCUCACUCCCACACCCACCCCUUGGAGGGCUGAGGAGUUUCCUUGGUACCUGGCCUGCUCGUUAUUUUUUCCAGAACGACCACCUGCAGCCCAGUCCCAGGCCUCAUGGUCUGAGGCCUCCAGCCCAGGGUGAGCCAUACUGGAUCCGACAUCCUGGGGAAGAGGCUGGCAGGGGCCUGGCCAGGCUGAAAUGGAAGAGACGGAAACAGUGCCGGGACCCCUCCUCCCUCAUAGGAUUCCCAGGAGCCACCAGAAUCAUCUGCGGGAGCUACCCCACUAAGUAAAUGAGAAUGCGUGUGAAGUCCCUAGCACGAGGCCCGGGAGAGUAGGCAAUCAACGAACAUGUGAUCAAUAAAUAACUAUUAGCUACACUUGGCGGUAAUAACCGUCUGUUUGGUGGAGCUCCGGCGCCCAUUUCCAGAGCUGCAGGCAGGGAAAGCUGCGUCCCAAGCUCCAUCUGAAGCCAGAAGGUAGAAUCUAAGUUCUAGGGUCUGGCACACAGCAGGAAGGGAGGCCACGGGGCCCAUAUUGACUGAUGGAGCAAACCCAAAAUAUAGCCUGUGAUUGAUCAAGACAUCCUCUUCUUGCUAUUUUGAGUCUUACUGGGGAGUCCGGAAGGAAAACUGUCCCUCCAGCAAGAGAAGGACAUUUUGACCCAGUGCGUCUUCCCACCAGUUUUGCGGAUGGGCCCUCCCUCUUCCCACCUGUCCUGCUUGCACCAGCUUUAGAGAUGACUUCGGCUCGGCUGCAUGCCCUCGGUGACUAACACAGGCAGGAACCAAGGUGCCACCUCUUCCAGGAAACUGUUCCAGAUACUUCCUCCCUCUUCCCUCACCUGCACCAGAUACGGUUUGGGGAGCUGAGUUAUGAAAUGAAUAUCUAAGUGAAAUUAUAAAGAUCUAGGUUUGAAUUCUGCCACCAUUUACUAUGCACGUAACCUUGGCAAUCUCUUUACCUCUCUGGGCCUCAAUAUCUCUCUCUAAAUUAAUGACAACAAAUUAGUUAACAGGAUGGUCAUGAAGAUCAAAUGAUAUAACUUAGCCAACAGUGCUAGA